AUGAACGCUGGCGGCGUGCCUAAUCCCUGCAAGUCGAGCGAACAGACGAGGAGCUUGCUCCUCUGACGUUAGCGGCGGACGGGUGAGUAACACGUGGAUAACCUACCUAUAAGACUGGGAUAACUUCGGGAAACCGGAGCUAAUACCGGAUAAUAUAUUGAACCGCAUGGUUCAAUAGUGAAAGACGGUUUUGCUGUCACUUAUAGAUGGAUCCGCGCCGCAUUAGCUAGUUGGUAAGGUAACGGCUUACCAAGGCAACGAUGCGUAGCCGACCUGAGAGGGUGAUCGGCCACACUGGAACUGAGACACGGUCCAGACUCCUACGGGAGGCAGCAGUAGGGAAUCUUCCGCAAUGGGCGAAGGCCUGACGGAGCAACGCCGCGUGAGUGAUGAAGGUCUUCGGAUCGUAAAACUCUGUUAUUAGGGAAGAACAAAUGUGUAAGUAACUAUGCACGUCUUGACGGUACCUAAUCAGAAAGCCACGGCUAACUACGUG
rnacentral:rRNA from 1 species